rnacentral:antisense_RNA from 1 species
UGGCGCGUGUGAUUCCGCAGUCUUGGGCUGUUCGGCCAAGUGCCCACCAGACGUGGGGCACUGGAGGGUCAGCAGCGUGGAGUCUGGCUUUCAGCGUCCACGGCUGGGAAAUCGGCCAUCGCCACGGCGGGAACUAGGACUGGCUGCGUCCCGGCCCUUCCCCAUCCGUCCACCGGACUCGUGGGCGCCCGCACUGGCGCUGAUGUAGUUUCCUGACCUCUGACCCGUAUUGUCUCAAGAUUAAAGAGCUGCGCCUGGAUCCUGCCACAGUGAGGAGACCUGAAGACCAGAGGAAGCACAGCAA